UACAGAGGUCUCAAGCGUUGUUCGGAUUCAUUGGGCGUAAAGGGUGCGUAGGCGGCGCGGUAAGUCGGGUGUGAAAUCUCGGAGCUUAACUCCGAAACUGCAUUCGAUACUGCCGUGCUUGAGGACUGGAGAGGAGACUGGAAUUUACGGUGUAGCGGUGAAAUGCGUAGAUAUCGUAAGGAAGACCAGUGGCGAAGGCGGGUCUCUGGACAGUGCCUGACGCUGAGGCACGAAGGUCAGGGGAGCAAACGGG
rnacentral:rRNA from 1 species